GUACCGUAUGGUCUGUCUUUCUUGGUUUUUUGAUUUCCUCUUCCACGUAUUUGUCAGAGACAACUCUAACUACCCUCCACCACCGUACGACCACCACCACAACCACCACCACCACCAAUCAUCAAUGGCGAAUCAAAUAACAACAAAACCGUUAUUCAUUCUCGUACUAUCACUCUUAUUGGUAUCCUCAUCAAUCGCAAGCUCCGAUGUUCCCUUCAUCGUCGCUCACAAGAAAGCCACUCUCAGCAGCCUCAAAUCCGGAGCUGAGCGCGUCUCCGUCUCCAUUGAUAUUUACAAUCAAGGAUCCUCGACUGCAUAUGAUAUAACCCUUGUUGAUGAUCACUGGCCUCAAGAUAUGUUUAAUGUCGUCAGUGGCAACACUUCACAGUCAUGGGAAAGACUUCAUGCUGGUGGUCUUCUGUCACACUCUUUUGAAUUGGAGGGCAAAGUGAAAGGAUUGUUUUUGGGCUCUCCAGCUGUCAUUACAUUCCGCAUCCCCACAAAGGCUGCCUUGCAGGAGGCAUACUCAACUCCUAUUCUGCCUCUUGAUGUCCUUGCAGACAAACCACCAGUGCAGAAGCUCGAGUGGGUAAGUUUCUUGUUGGGAUUUCAAACAUGCAAGUUCAUCAAUUUAUGCUUGGACACCCUUCUUUUUGGUUUUGCUGUUAACUUAAGGUGGUCUUUUUUCUUUCAUUUUGUAUGGGAUGACCUCUGGUUUGGCCAAAAUUCUGCAGGCGAAGGUACGAAUCAUCUUCUUAUUGUCUUGAUCAUUAGUUGUUAAAAGUUAUUAUAACAUGCUUCCUGGAAUUCAAAUUUGACUUGACAAGUAAAAAGGCCAAAAGAAAAGCUGUUGGUUAAGUAUGGGUCUCUAAUUUCUGUGAUCUCCAUUGUGGUUCUGUUCGUGUACUUGCUCGUUGCCCCAUCCAAAUCCGGUGCUGCAAAAUCAGGCAAGAAGAGACGUUAAACAUUACAGCCGAGAAACUGAUCCGGUAGGUUGUCUGCAGUUUAGAUUUUUCAGAGGAAAUCUCUCCACAAGUACUGCUAGUUAAAUUGUUUUCUAGCCGUAGAACUGAAAUUUUGUAAGUGGGAGGAGUUAGCAAUUUAAAUAACAUAACUUUUUAUUGUUA